rnacentral:misc_RNA from 1 species
UUCAUCCAUCUCUGCAUCCGCCUCUUCCUAAUCAGCCAGCCGCUCACAUACGGUGGCGUGCAGGUCAUUACAGAGGCGCCGUGUACUCCCCCCCCAACACAUACACACACAGAGCGAGUGGCGAGCACACUGUAGCUCAAAGACAGCAGAAGAUGAGCGGCUCUGACGCGAUGGCGACGCACGCGUCGAGGUGGCGGCCGACGCAGAACCCGGCAGCCGUGCGGAAGUACUCGAGCGAGACUGCCGCUCCGCAGCCACCCGCGAAGAUUAUCCUGGAGGACCACUCCCUCGUCGAGGUCUUCCGGCGCUCGGCGGCUUUUCAGAGGAUUAUUGCCUACGUACAAGGCUGCAGCGAGGCGGUGGAGUCGACACCAAACCACCAGCGCCUGUCCGCCACGGUGGAUGACUGCGACGAUACGGUGAGGUACCUCGUAACGGACUACCUGCCACGCCUGCAUGACAUUGUGACCGCCAUCCCGCUGGAGGACAUGGCGCAGCAGCGCUUCGGCAACCGCGCCAAGCGCGUGUUUCACGCGCGACUCGAGGAGACGGUGGUCGCCGACAUGGAGAAGCUCGUCCGAACCUUUCCCACCUCCGCGGGCCGGUCGGAGGAGGCGAUCACCGAUAUGGCGACAGAGGUGGCGGCGUACGUCAUGGACUCUUUCGGCAACGCCACGCGCCUCGACUACGGCAGCGGCCACGAGCUGCACUUCUUUAUUGUCAUCAUGAUCUGCCUCGAGGAGCACGGCGACGGCGGCGGGAGUCUAAAGGAUGAGCCGGCGGUGCUCGUCCCGCUCGAGGUGCCGCCGCCGCCGCCGGUGCCUCCGAUGGAGCGCGCAGAGGUGCGCAAGCGGCGUCAGGACUACAUCUUCUACAUCUUCCACGAAUACAUGCGUCUGGUCCGGCGGCUGCAGAAGCGUUACUCGCUCGAGCCGGCGGGGUCGCAUGGGGUGUGGGGCCUAGACGACUAUCACCACAUCCCCUACAUCUUCGGUGGCGCGCAGCUCAUCAACGCGGAGGUACAGCCGGUGAAACCGGCGGCCGAUCAGGAGGCGAUGGUAGUGCUCCCCAAGCACAUUUGCGACCGCGCCAAGGUGGAGAUACUCAAGGACAGCUAUCUCUACUUUAGCAUGAUCGCGUGGAUUUUGGAGAACAAGACGGGACCCUUCCACGAGCACAGCAACAUGCUGUACAACAUCUCCGGCGUCGAGCACUGGUCGAAGAUCUACAGCGGCAUGGUGAAGAUGUUCGCCGCGGAGGUGCUGGCGAAGUUCAACGUGUCGCAGCACCUCCUCUUCGGCCGACAUCUGCCGUGGAACACGAAGACGAUGUGACAGGUGCCGCGGGCGGUCGAAGACACGGCAAUCAAGUCUUCGACGGGCACGCCGUGCACCCACCCACACCCACUCACCCACGGCGCUCUUUUCUUUCGCGGCAGAAACUCUCUCGCCCACCUCUAUUUGCGCUCACCCUGUUCUCCCCACCGAUCCGCCUCGCUGCCAUGCGGCCGUGUCUCCGCCCCGCCACGAACUGCAUCUCCCUCCUAUUCUCUCUGUGCCUCUCUUAUGUGCCCGCGUGAUGCGUCUGCACGCGGGACUUGCAUUGAAUGCUUCGCUUUUAGACGGAU